GGCAACGUGGCGGAGUGGUUAUCGCGACAGCCUCGAAUUCUUUCGUAAGCUGUUUCCUUCGGGAGCGCAGGUUCGAAUCCUGCCGUUGUCG
rnacentral:tRNA from 3 species